rnacentral:rRNA from 1 species
UACGUAGGGUGCAAGCGUUAAUCGGAAUUACUGGGCGUAAAGCGUGCGCAGGCGGUUCGUUGUGUCGGCGGUGAAAGCCCCGGGCUUAACCUGGGAAUGGCCGUCGAAACUGGCGAAUUGGAGUGUGGCAGAGGGGGGUGGAAUUCCGCGUGUAGCAGUGAAAUGCGUAGAGAUGCGGAGGAACACCGAUGGCGAAGGCAGCCCCCUGGGCUGACACUGACGCUCAGGCACGAAAGCGUGGGGAGCAAACAGG